rnacentral:rRNA from 1 species
UACGGGGGGAGCAAGCGUUGUUCGGAUUUACUGGGCGUAAAGGGCGGGUAGGCGGCCACCGCAAGUCAGUUGUGAAAUCUCUGGGCUUAACCCAGAAAGGUCAACUGAUACUGCGGGGCUAGAGUGCAGAAGGGGCAACUGGAAUUCUCGGUGUAGCGGUGAAAUGCGCAGAUAUCAGGAGGAACACCGGUGGCGAAGGCGGGUCUCUGGGCCGUAACUGACGCUGAGGAGCGAAAGCAUGGGGAGCGAACAGG